rnacentral:piRNA from 1 species
UUAUGGUGUGCCAGGGAUUGA